GGGCACUUAGCACAGGGUAGUGCACACACUUUGCAUUGUUCAAACAUUGAUAAUUCUUGUGUGAGGUCGUGGGUUCAAAUCCCACAGUGUCCA
rnacentral:tRNA from 1 species